rnacentral:lncRNA from 1 species
UUUGUAUUAAAGGUCUGAGUUUUGAUCUUGCAGAAAAUCCUGUGUUGUCUAACUAGCAUUACAAAAUCAAUAAACACAGAACAUCCAAGUUUGAGAUGGUUUCACAUGCAGCUUCUGAAUGAACUAAUGUAAAGUUUACAUAGAGGAAUCAAAGAUGCUUCUUUUCAAUAUACGUGAAGCUUUUUCUAUAUGACAAAAUAAUAAAAAUUACAGCAUGGUUUCAUUAAAAAAUGGAGAAUAACCAAGAGCUUUGGCCCUUAACUUCAUCAUCUCUUAGAAGCCUCCACUCAGGUAAAAAUCACAAUAAUGAUGGGAUGACCUUAAAUGUGGGCAGACACACAUGUCAGAAUCUUUUAACAGAUCCAAUAUCUGAUAUGCAAAGGCAAAUAAUUUCAGCAGCAUUCUUAGGGGGUGUUAGAUGGUUUUGCAAAGUAAGAGGAACUCUCCUGGGUGACUUAAUAGUCCAGUAGCCACCCACAUUGGAGUAGCACUAUCUAGGACUAUGAGAGGAAUAAGGAAUUUGCUGCCCAAGAG